CCGCAAGGGGAGGAGGGGAGGACGGGGGAGCCGGCACAGGCAGCAGGAACCAGCAGAGCCCACAGCCCUUGAUCGAAGAUGAUCCCGUUUCCGGUCUGGCCCCAGCCCUUGGCAGGCCCGGGAGUGGAGCUUCCCUCCAAGAGCGUAAGGCAGGAGUGUUGCAUUUGAAGUUCCUCUUCUCGUUCCCAACCCGCCUCUGCACUCCAGUGGGACAGGAGACUGCAGAAACUGCUGCUGGGGCCCAGAGGGAAAGGCCUCCCACCACUUCCUGUACCUGCGCUGGGGUGGUCCCCCUGCUCUGCACUCCGAGUGGGGAGUUGGUCCUUAACCCAGGAAGGAAUGUGAUCUCUGCCUGCCGAACCACCCUGGUGUUGGGGGCAGCCCACUGCCCAGCUCCCAGACAGCAGGCUGCAGGUCAAAACCUCCUGCUUCUCCGAGAAGCUCUCCCAUUCUCCUCUCUCCUUUCAAACCUGGCAGCUGUCUGGCUGUCUCUGAUUCCUGUCACCCUGGUUGGUCCAGCCUCGCUCCUCCUGGCUGCUUUGGUAGAAUGAACAUCUAUGCCCAGAGCUUGGGUACAGCCUCUCCUGCUCUCCCAGUGCGGUGGGCUACACUGCACAUCCCACCCGGACCAGCAGCUGGCACCUGCUUCUCCAGGAAGGCCAUCUGGCCAGAAGAGGAGAGGAGCACUGGCCUGGUGCUAUAGCGUUGGACCUCUGACAGCCUGAGUCCCCUACUGCAGCCCCUAUGCCUUUGGCCUUCCCACCUACAUUCUACUUUUAGAAAACCCAGGGCCUCGGCAGCAGAGAGUAGCCUAUUUUGACAGAGUCCAAAUGGAGCAAGUGGGGAGGGGCAGCGACGGGGCGGGAAGCGCGUCUCCGUUGGCGGGCACUGCUUUGCCCGGAACUCACUAUUCUUUCCCAGUGUUAAUUAUCAAAAUUAACCGAACACUAUAAAUAACCCAACUUGGAGACUUGAAGAGCCUCACUUCUAAUUAAUUCAUUUCCAAUCAAGGCACUUCUACGCCCCCCUACCCUAGAAUCUGACGGAUGGGAACCUCAUUGUGCAGCUUCUUGAAUAUCGAAUCCCACCGUCCCUCUCACUCCUGAGCUGUGAACGCUCAAAGAGAAAAGAGAGAGAGGAGGAAAAAACACUCUGCUUUCUUGGAAGGGGGUAGCCUAUAAAUAACCCCAUAUUGGUGCAUUUGAUGGACGACGUUUGUCUAGAUUGGCUUUUGUUGGGAUGAGGCGAUAGAGAGGGUGGGGGUGGGGUGGUGGAGACUUCCAUCUGCCGCCGCAUUCACUGGGCAAUAAAUUUUAAAGCAAGACU
rnacentral:lncRNA from 1 species